AUUGAACGCUGGCGGCGUGCCUAAUACAUGCAAGUCGAGCGAAUCAAUAGGAGCUUGCUCCUGUUGGUUAGCGGCGGACGGGUGAGUAACACGUGGGCAACCUGCCUGUAAGACUGGGAUAACAUCGGGAAACCGAUGCUAAUACCGGAUAAUUCAUUCCCUCUCACGAGGGAAUGUUGAAAGUCGGUUUCGGCUGACACUUACAGAUGGGCCCGCGGCGCAUUAGCUAGUUGGUGAGGUAACGGCUCACCAAGGCGACGAUGCGUAGCCGAACUGAGACGGUGAUCGGCCACACUGGGACUGAGACACGGCCCAGACUCCUACGGGAGGCAGCAGUAGGGAAUCUUCCACAAUGGACGAAAGUCUGAUGGAGCAACGCCGCGUGAGCGAUGAAGGCCUUCGGGUCGUAAAGCUCUGUUGUUAGGGAAGAACAUGUACCGGAGUAACUGCCGGUACCUUGACGGUACCUAACCAGAAAGCCACGGCUAACUACGUGCCAGCCGCCGCAGUAA
rnacentral:rRNA from 1 species